rnacentral:rRNA from 1 species
UCCGUAGGUGGAUAAUUAAGUCAGAGGUGAAAUCCUGCAGCUCAACUGUAGAAUUGCCUUUGAUACUGGUUAUCUUGAGUCAUUAUGAAGUGGUUAGAAUGUGUAGUGUAGCGGUGAAAUGCAUAGAUAUUACACAGAAUACCGAUUGCGAAGGCAGAUCACUAAUAAUGUACUUACACUGAGUGACGAAAGCGUGGGGAGCGAACAGGAUUAGAUACCCUGGUAGUC